AUUGAACGCUGGCGGCAGGCCUAACACAUGGAAGUCGAGCGGAUGAAGGGAGCUUGCUCCUGGAUUCAGCGGCGGACGGGUGAGUAAUGCCUAGGAAUCUGCCUGGUAGUGGGGGAUAACGUCCGGAAGCGGGCGCUAAUACCGCAUACGUCCUGAGGGAGAAAGUGGGGGAUCUUCGGACCUCACGCUAUCAGAUGAGCCUAGGUCGGAUUAGCUAGUUGGUGGGGUAAAGGCCUACCAAGGCGACGAUCCGUAACUGGUCUGAGAGGAUGAUCAGUCACACUGGAACUGAGACACGGUCCAGACUCCUACGGGAGGCAGCAGUGGGGAAUAUUGGACAAUGGGCGAAAGCCUGAUCCAGCCAUGCCGCGUGUGUGAAGAAGGUCUUCGGAUUGUAAAGCACUUUAAGUUGGGAGGAAGGGCAGUAAGUUAAUACCUUGCUGUUUUGGCGUUACCAACAGAAUAAGCACCGGCUAACUUCGUG
rnacentral:rRNA from 1 species